rnacentral:rRNA from 1 species
GGGAGCAGCCCAGAGCCUGAAUCAGUGUGUGUGUUAGUGGAAGCGUCUGGAAAGGCGCGCGAUACAGGGUGACAGCCCCGUACACAAAAAUGCACAUGCUGUGAGCUCGAUGAGUAGGGCGGGACACGUGGUAUCCUGUCUGAAUAUGGGGGGACCAUCCUCCAAGGCUAAAUACUCCUGACUGACCGAUAGUGAACCAGUACCGUGAGGGAAAGGCGAAAAGAACCCCGGCGAGGGGAGUGAAAAAGAACCUGAAACCGUGUACGUACAAGCAGUGGGAGCACGCUUAGGCGUGUGACUGCGUUCCUUUUGUAUAAUGGGUCAGCGACUUAUAUUCUGUAGCAAGGUUAACCGAAUAGGGGAGCCGAAGGGAAACCGAGUCUUAACUGGGCGUUAAGUUGCAGGG